CCAGUGGCAAUGACCCAGACCCGGAUGACCCCCAUUGCUGAGCCAGCGGAGCUGCUUGGGUCCACGAGGCUGGUGUCAGACCUAUUGGGAGACCCUCUGCGUUAGUGAGAAAAACGGCAAGAAAUGGGAGCACGUGGAAACCUCCAAGACUAGAGCCACCAGAUGCCACCGACAGCACGCAGCUGGACCAGCACGGGGGAGGGCCUUCGUGGGUCGAGAGCUGGCUCGGGAGAUAGUUGGUGCUUUUCUUUCAGGAGAAGAAUCCCUGGCGGAGUCUGACCGUUCUCUGGCGCACAGCCCCGGGGGUGGGCACAGCAGCCGCCCCUGCUGAAGGGACUGACGCCUCCGACGACCAGCAGCCAAGUUAAACGCACUGUUCCGUGAGCAGCUUUGUUGGAGACAGCGCGGCUCACAUUCUCUUCCAACGGAGCCGCUGACUGCGGAGCUGGGAGGGGACGUGACAGAACCCAGCCAUCCAAGGUCCCCCCACCCCUCCCCAGCUGGGACCUCCGGCUGCUUCGGGGCUGCGCUGGGUGGCAUCAAGGAGCCGCCCCUCUGGGCCGCGUCCCUCCCUCACGCCCUGCACACUGGCCCUGUGUGGCCGGCGGGGCCGCCUAAAAGGGCGGAAGGAUGCAGGGGCGGAGGGGGCUCGGAAUUGCACGCCUAGCUCAGACCCCCCAGCCACGACCCCUCGCGCUGUUGGACACGCCAGCCUCCCGACCCUGCGGCUCCUAUGGGAGGUGACAAGGACCCUGCCAACCUGGCCUGAAUGGCCCAGUUUGAUACAGAUCAGGUUUUCAAUGAAUGAGACCGCGGUGUGGUCUAGGCGGAGGGAUGAGAGGAGGGGAUAAGUUGGGGCGGGGUAAGGAGGGGAUUCUUUUCCUGGGCUGAGGAGAACGCAGGGACAAAGUACACAGGGGUAGUUGAGUGAGCAGGCGAGGCCCUAGGCUGGUUCCCCACCUUCUCAGGAUCGGAGCCACUCACUUCCUGGUACUCUCUGCAGUCUCCCGGCGUUAAAUAACAUCCCUUUGCUGGAGACUCUGGAUUCACAUCCAUAAUCGCAGCCUCCCCUACUCAUCCCCUCACGCUUCCCAUGAACUAACCUUGAAGGACCCGACCAGAGCCCUGACCUCCGUCCCCCACACCUGCUACAUGGAAGGUGUUCUCCACAUCAGUUCAAGGCAGUGUCACUCUUCAGGAUGUUCAGGCUCUAAACCUUGGAGUCCUCCUCCAGAUUUCUCUCUCCUUCCUUCUCCUUGUCUCUCCCUUGCACUUACGGUUCUCUUUUCCUUCGUAGCUUUGUAGCUCAUUCCCCCUUCCACUUUCCACACCACCUUCUGGUCUGUUAAUUAAAUAUUACCUGGUUUCCACUGACACCUUCCCUGGGUUCCCAAUUGAAAAUCACAACAUCAUCCUCCUCCUCUGCUUUUUUUCUCCAAAUUAUAUCCUCACCCAAUUAUGUGUUAUUCUCAUUAAUCUUGCUUAAUUAAUUAGCAGACAUUAUUAAUGCCUGUUUCCCCUGUCACCACCACUAGACUAUGAACUCCUAAGGACUCCUUCCUUCCACCACUGUUGUACCCGCUUCACCUAGAACUGCUUGGCACAUACAAUGUGCUCCAUAAAUAUUUGUUGAAUGAAAGACUAGACACAACUUAGGAUUCACUCCCCCAUGUGGCAUCCAUAAGCCCUGUAUGCAGGUAAAAUGUCAGUGGGUUGACUAAAUAUUGGAAGUGGAAAAAACUUCACCUCUUUGGUUUGCGGUUGUCUAGGACAUUUAGGCCAAUGGAAAACCCAGUUUUCCUUAGAAUUAAGCCAGUGCCGCCAGACUUGCCAGUUUACCAUGCUUGUCUGACUGGUCCUCAGCAUGGGUCAUACAUGUCCAAUGAAUUCAAACAAAAUCUUGAGAAGACACAAACCUUGCCCUUCGGCUGGGCGCGGUGGCUCACGCCUGUAAUCCCAGCACUUUGGGAGGCCGAGGCAGGCGGAUCACGAGGUCAGGAGAUCGAGACCAUCCUGGCUAACAUGGUGAAACCCCGUCUGUACUAAAAAUACAAAAAAUUAGCCGGGCGUGGUGGCGGGCGCCUGUAGUCCCAGCUACUCAGGAGGCUGAGGCAGGAGAAUGGCGUGAACCUGGGAGGCGGAGCUUGCAGUGAGUGAGCCGAGAUCGCACCCCUGCACUCCAGCCUGGGCGACAGAGCGAGACUCCGUCUCAUUAAAAAAAAAAAAACAAAAAAAAAACCAAAAACCUUGCCCUUCAUUCCCCAUUUCUAUCAUAAUCUACACAGAGUUUUGAACAGGCGUUUUAAAAUCAACAAUAUAUUAUUUACAAUUUUGUUAGUAUACAUAACUCUAACUCACUGUUAAAAAUCACCUGUCUUUAUAUCCAUUAAAUGACACUUGCAUAUGCUCCAA
rnacentral:antisense_RNA from 1 species